CAAGUCGAACGAAUGCCUUUGGGGGUAACUCUGGGGGCGGAAGUGGCGAAAGGGGCAGUAAUGCAUGGGUAACUUACCCUGGAGUCAGGCAUAGCCGUCCUAACGGACGGGUAAUUCUUGAUGGCCCAGCGUGGUGGCAUCAUCGUGCUGGUAAAGAAUUUCGCUCCGGGAGAGACUCAUGUCGUAUUAGCUAGUUGGCGGGGUAACGGCCCACCAAGGCUAAGAUGCGUAGCGGGUGUGAGAGCACGACCCGCGCCACUGGCACUGAGACACUGGCCAGACACCUACGGGUGGCUGCAGUCGAGGAUCUUCGUCAAUGGGCGAAAGCCUGAACGAGCGACGCCGCGUGCGCGAUGAAGGCCUUCGGGUUGUAAAGCGCGAAAGUGGGGACGAAGCCGAAAGGUUGACCGAUCCACAGUAAGCUCGGGCUAAGUUCGUGCCAGCAGCCGCGGUAAGACGAACCGAGCGAACGUUGUUCGGAAUCACUGGGCUUAAAGGGCGCGUAGGCGGGCAUCAUAGUCUGUGGUGAAAUCCGGCAGCUUAACUGUCGAAUUGCCAUGGAUACUGGGUGUCUCGAGGGAGGCAGGGGUGCGCGGAACUGAUGGUGGAGCGGUGAAAUGCGUUGAUAUCAUCAGGAACUCCGGUGGCGAAGGCGGCGCACUGGUCCUUUUCUGACGCUGAGGCGCGAAAGCCAGGGGAGCAAACGGGAUUAGAUACCCCGGUAGUCCUGGCCCUAAACGUUGGGUACUAGAUAGUAGGGUUCACAUGGCUUUACUGUCGAAGCAAAAGUGCUAAGUACCCCGCCUGGGGAGUAUGGUCGCAAGGCUGAAACUCAAAGGAAUUGACGGGGGCUCAC
rnacentral:rRNA from 1 species